rnacentral:rRNA from 1 species
AACGAACGCUGGCGGCAGGCCUAACACAUGCAAGUCGAACGAAGUCUUCGGACUUAGCGGCGCACGGGUGAGUAACACGUGGGAAUAUACCUUACGCUGGGGGAUAACAUCGGGAAACUGAUGCUAAUACCGCAUACGCCCUUCGGGGGAAAGAUUUAUCGGCGAAAGAUUAGCCCGCGUCCGAUUAGCUAGUUGGUGAGGUAAUGGCUCACCAAGGCUCCGAUCGGUAGCUGGUCUGAGAGGAUGACCAGCCACACUGGGACUGAGACACGGCCCAGACUCCUACGGGAGGCAGCAGUGGGGAAUAUUGGACAAUGGGCGCAAGCCUGAUCCAGCCAUGCCGCGUGAGUGAUGAAGGCCUUAGGGUUGUAAAGCUCUUUCACCCACGACGAUGAUGACGGUAGUGGGAGAAGAAGCCCCGGCUAACUUCGUG